AAUAAAAUGAGGGGGGCAGAAGUGGAGGGCACGGUUGGCAUCUAUCCACCCCUCGUCUGCCGCGCUAGAAUCUGCUAGGGUUUCAGUAGCAUCUCCUACGCCGACGGCGUCCGCCGCGCUAGAAGCUGCUAGGGUUUCAAUCGCAUCUCCUACGCCGACGGCGGUGCAGGGCGGCGUGGGGAAGAUCUGCCUCCUGGGAUCCCCCGGCCCGGUUUGUGUUGUGGAUGAGGCUGUGGUGGUGGCGUCUUGGGUGGAGGACGGCAAGAGGAAGGUCAAGCUACUGGGAUGUGAGGGCAAGGUGAUUGAGGUGGAUAUGGCGGUCGACAUGGCGGCUUCUUCGGUGAUGGGCGGAAACAAGAAGUUCAAAUUCAAGAGCUCCGACGGUCGGACGGUGUUGUGUUCGAGGUGGAUAAGGCGUCGGUGAUGCAGUCGCUGACGCUCCAGAACUUUUGCCUAAACUGCACCGACGGCAUCCCAGUCGUCGAAUUCAACUCCAAGGUCCUGGAAAAAGUCAUGGAGUACUGCGAGAAGCACGCCCACUGCAACGCCGAGGAACUCAAGGACUGGGAUGCAGAUUUCAUCAAGGUUGACCAGGCCAUGGUUUAAGACCUUUUGGUGGCUGGAUUCGAUCUGAAUAUCAAGGGGCUACAGAUACUCGUUUGCCAGGCUAUUGCUGACAUGUUGGUGGGCAAGACGCAUGAGGAGAUCCGCAAGAUUGUCAAACGUCAAGAAUGACUUUAUCCCCAAGGAGGAAAAGAUCUCAAUGGAGGGCAUGGAGGGAGCUGCGCAGAACAUUUACCUUGAUUCUGAGAUCUUGGCCUUGUUUGGUUGAUCUAGCACACAAUUUCCGAAAAGAGAAUCUCGCAUGCAUGGAGUACUAAAUGAAGCUUAUUUGCAAAACUUUUUUAAGGAUGGGUGUAACUUUUCGUGACGAAUCUAAUGACGGUAAUUAAUCGAUGAUUGACUAC